UCUCAGUGGUAAAGAAUCUGCUUGCAAUGCAGGAGACCCGGGUUCAAUCCCUGG
rnacentral:tRNA from 1 species